rnacentral:tRNA from 1 species
GGAGAGGUGGCUGAGUGGCCGAAAGCGCCGGUUUGCUAAACCGGUAACCGGGGUAAACCUGGUUCACGGGUUCGAAUCCCGUCCUCUCCG